GCUGCGCUGCACCGGCCCGCCGGCUCCGCCCACUCCUUCUCCUCAGCGUCUGGCCCGUCGCCUCCGCAUUCCCCGUCACCGCGCGCCCGCCGGCUCACCCCCCGCUUCGCUGGCUGGCUCCGGCACGCUCCUCAUCCGGCCCUGCUCCCGUGCGUACUGCAUCGACACCGCCCGCAAUUCCGGCGAUUGGCUUGGUUUCUGAGGUACGAGCAUCCCCAACUCCAGAGAUUCUAGGCGCGCCGGCGCGCGCCACCUAGAUCUGCAACCGUGUGGAUUUUCGGCUAGUGUUGGGACCGGAAUCCGUUCAUAGGCAGAAGAUAACAUAUGUCUCAACCGUGUGUUUGACGAAGCUGCCUCCUCCUGCAUUUGACCACAAAUUCCAAUGGUCAUCCCUGUCAAUAUGUCAACCUAAACAUGGAAGAAGUCAUCAUUCAAAGUGUAUCAUGACUGCUCUGGAUGAUAGGCAGUCGGUACCAUCUUCAUCGAUGUCUUCAUUGCGUGGGGUUCAUCCCCUUGUGGAUUCUUCAAAGAAGAAAGUACUGUCAUUUUCCAAGAGGAUCGACAGAUCAAUUGCAUCCUGAAUUUUCCUAGUUCACCAUGAAGCAAAUUAGUUUUCUUCUGCCUGCAUAAAAACCAAACUGUCCAAACAUAAAUUCAAAUGCUUAAAAUGUCGUUCUAUUCUGAAGCCAGGACUCUAGGAUCGAUGCUGAGCAGAGUGGCAACUAACCGGCUCUCCCGUCCCUCGCCACCUGAUGCCGAGGAGUGUUUAUGCAUGCUUGCAACCUACACCAAGAGACUCAUCCACGUCCUCCGUGCGUCCCGCAGCAGCAGGCAGCAACGCAUCGACGACGACAUGAUAUUUCACAGCUCUAGCAUCCUCGCGUGUGCAUAUUCUGAGACAUCAAUGGGUAUGACUUCUUGCACCUCAAAAUAAUCUCUAACUACCGCAACACAAGAAAUAAUUAGCUGCAGUUUUGCUCUAAGCAUGUACUUCAGAAUCACAAAAACAUUCUCUAGUUUAUUUGAUCACGUGUACUCUGGUUCAACAUGUCUCUUUUAUUGCCAAGUGCUAACCAGGUGUCUGUCUACAGAUUAAGUGGAACUAAUGGGAACCUACAAGUUGGCAACCGCUUGUUUCACCAACGCUAGCGACACCUUCUCACAGGGAGUGUCCAGGUCACCGACGCGGUUGAGACAUAUGUUAUCUUCUGCCUAUGUCAACCUAGCCAUAUCAGGACUGUGUGGACGCGGUUGAGAAAAACUGGCGCUACUUAUAUAAUGAAUAAAUAACUGUACCGGUGAUGCAGCUAGGGCAGUGUUUCGCUGUCAAGUUUCCAGCUUGUUGAUGAUCCUGGAAUUUUUGGUUGGGUUCCUUUGGGUAAUAACAAUAAGGAGCCAAAUAGUAGUGCUGCUUUGUGCUUUCCUUGUCAUGUUAGUUCUCCCUUGGGGAGAGAAUUACGAUCUUGUACAUUUGCUUCUGCGGCUCAUAUAGUUUCCCUUCAUACUCACUUAUGCUAUUUACAGAUAAUAACAGGUCCAAGAGAAGUAGAAGCCUCAUAUUAUUUUCUUAUCUUCAACAUGCAGGACAAUAGAGCUAUUGCUGAAAUCCAGUUUGCAGAUUAUAUCUUUCCAUCAUUUGAUCAGAUUGUCAACGAAGCCGCUAAAUUCAGAUACCGAAGUGGAAAUGAAUUUAACUAUGGAGUGAAACAUCCAGAAGUUGUCAUCCCUUAUUUUCUAGGUUUAACAAUUCGAUCUCCAUAUGGAGCUAUUGGACAUGGUGGUCACUACCAUUCACAGUCACCAGAGGCUUUCUUCUGCCAUGUUCCUGGCCUGAAGGUUGUCAUACCUCGGAGUCCACGUGAGGCCAAGGGACUUUUGCUGGCCAGCAUUCGUGACCCAAACCCAGUCAUCUUUUUCGAGCCAAAGUGACUGUACCGUUUGUCUGUUGAAGAAGUUCCUGAGGGGGACUAUAUGAUGCCUUUAUCCCAGGCGGAAGUGAUCCGCAAAGGAAGUGAUAUAACACUUGUUGGUUGGGGAGCUCAACUUGAAGUGCUGGAACAAGCAUGUGAAGAUGCUUCAAAGGUCAGUUAUUCAUGCUAGUUCUUGUAUGUCUCUGUGAAUUGGUACUAACGUUUUGUUUGGCUAGUGCAUAGAGAUGCCGUCGUAUGUCGUGUACAAG